CAGAGUUAUCCAACUCCCAAACCCAUGUGAACUUAUCUCUUUGUUGCCUCGGCGCAAGCUACCCGGGACCUCGCGCCCCGGGCGGCCCGCCGGCGGACAAACCAAAACUCUUGUUAUCUUAGUUGAUUAUCUGAGUGUCUUAUUAAUAAGUCA
rnacentral:misc_RNA from 1 species